AAUGAACGCUGGCGGCAUGCCUAACACAUGCAAGUCGAACGAGACCUUCGGGACUAGUGGCGCACGGGUGCGUCACGCGUGGGAACCUGACCUUAGGUUCGGAAUAACUCCCCGACAGGGGUGCUAAUACCGGAUAAUGUCUUCGGACCAAAGAUUUAUCGCCUUUGGAUGGGCCCGCGUUGGAUUAGCUAGUUGGUAGGGUAAAAGCCUACCAAGGCGACGAUCCAUAGCUGGUCUGAGAGGAUGAUCAGCCACACUGGGACUGAGACACGGCCCAGACUCCUACGGGAGGCAGCAGUGGGGAAUAUUGGACAAUGGGCGGAAGCCUGAUCCAGCAAUGCCGCGUGAGUGAUGAAGGCCUUAGGGUUGUAAAGCUCUUUUACCCGGGAUGAUAAUGACAGUACCGGGAGAAUAAGCUCCGGCUAACUCCGUG
rnacentral:rRNA from 1 species